UUUCAUGGCGGCUGUAUGUGUGGGCACCUUCGGGUGCGCCGGGUUCUGACGUCCUCGGUCUGCUACCCGCAUACAGUCGCCACCCAU
rnacentral:antisense_RNA from 1 species